GAGUUUGAUCCUGGCUCAGAUUGAACGCUGGCGGCAGGCCUAACACAUGCAAGUCGAGCGGAUGACGGGAGCUUGCUCCUUGAUUCAGCGGCGGACGGGUGAGUAAUGCCUAGGAAUCUGCCUGGUAGUGGGGGACAACGUUUCGAAAGGAACGCUAAUACCGCAUACGUCCUACGGGAGAAAGCAGGGGACCUUCGGGCCUUGCGCUAUCAGAUGAGCCUAGGUCGGAUUAGCUAGUUGGUGGGGUAAUGGCUCACCAAGGCGACGAUCCGUAGCAGGUCUGAGAGGAUGAUCUGCCACACUGGAACUGAGACACGGUCCAGACUCCUACGGGAGGCAGCAGUGGGGAAUUUUGGACAAUGGGGGCAACCCUGAUCCAGCCAUGCCGCGUGAGUGAAGAAGGCC
rnacentral:rRNA from 1 species